CCCUUAGAUGUUCUGGGCCGCACGCGCGCUACACUGAUGCAUUCAACGAGCUUAGCCUUGACCGAGAGGUCCGGGUAAUCUUUGAAACUGCAUCGUGAUGGGGCUAGAUUAUUGCAAUUAUUAAUCUUCAACGAGGAAUGCCUAGUAAGCGUGAUUCAUCAAAUCGCGUUGAUUACGUCCCUGCCCUUUGUACACACCGCCCGUCGCUCCUACCGAUUGAGUGUGUUGGUGAGGAGUUCGGAUUGGCUCUUAGUGGUGGUUCGCCACCACCUAGAGCUGAGAAGUUCUCCAAACCGCCCCACUUAGAGGAAGGAGAAGUCGUAACA
rnacentral:rRNA from 1 species